CACAAGUGAAUGACUUGUGCUGAGUCUGAGUUAAAAAGUCCUAUAAAGCACAAACUGGACAUGCGAAGGAACCUCAGCUCUCCCAAAACAUAUUAAGGACAGUGCAGAAGCUUCUUGGCUCUGGAAGGAGUCACCCAAUGCUUCUCCUAUGAAAGAUCACCCACUUUGCACAGCCUAAUUUUGUAUGAAGGAGAAGAAAGAGAGAACAAUAGAGAAAGUCUGAGAAGAACAUGCCCAGGAUUCUGCAGCACACAGGCUGUGACAGUAACUACUUCAUCAUGUGCUGGUUGAUUUCCUAAGAGCAUUAAAGUAC